AAUAAAAAAUCAAGCAAAAAGACUCUCUAGAUCAGCUCAUACUCAAUCUGAUGCAUUAUGUCCGUUUUAGACAGCUCCUUGUGUAUGGAUAGGACUUUUCAACGUAAAUGCAGAAAGGGAUUUCAAUCAUGUAUAAUUAUGUUCACACAGUAGAACUGAGGGUAAGAGCGCCCUGAGCCUAGCCGAAUAAUGUGCACUGAAACUCGAAUGAAGACUUCAGAUCGACGCCCACCAAACUCUCUCCCCUCAGAAUUGUGCUCGAAUCAAGCCCUCUGUGAUGGAUGAGAGAGAGGAUUUUCCAGUGAUGGCAACAGUUCCUAUGACGACCAGACCUCCACCGGGGGAUUGCGUCUGUCAGACAGUGCUAAUGAUAAUUGAGAGGCUGGAGUGGGCAGGCGUGUGGGUUUGGCCACAGGAAGCUGUGAAUUCCUUGAAGAACAGAGGGUGUCAGGGCCCAGAACGCAGAACGGGGGGGGGGGGGGGCUUACUGUACCUUGUAACGUCUCAUUAUCCUCCUAGUUGACCCCUGACCCCGGCCUGUGUUUGUAUCAGGUCAUCAACGUGAGGAAUUGUAAUGAGUCACUCCAGCAGUGUGUUUACCUUCUGGAGUCACGCAAGGAAGGAAAUAAGGCACAGUCUUCUAAAAGUGUCAAAGUGAGAGAGAAUAGCAGCAGUAUUAGAGCAGAGCCCUGAUUCAUCUCACUGUUACUGACCUCUUGUACCGUUACACUGGGUUUAUUUAACCUAUUCACUACUGUAGGGAGACUAGCUACAGAUCAGCUGUAUGAAAACAUAAGGUAUGAGAUUAAUAGUGUAAUUCUGUAAUUGAAGUCUGAUUCGUACCCCAACUCAUUGAGUGAAAUGAUCCGUGUACUGCACUAUGUGGAUACAACUUAUUUUUGCUAUCACUGUGUAAUAUGUUGCUAAUAGACCAAACAUGUAUUUUUGUCCUAAUUCUCUGUUGUGUGUUGCAGUCAUUUGAGUUUUUUUGCUAUGCCCAAUGAAAUUUGGAGAGAUGUAGUAUUUUCCUUUGUCUCAUGCAACAAUCAUAAAUUAUGUGUAUGUGAUUUUUCUGUUUAAUAAUAAUUUAUUGCAAUAUAUUUCCGACUCCAAUAUAUAGAUUAUGUCUGGAAGAUCCCUUGUAAUACACUUUGAAGGAGAAAUCUUCACUUCCAAAUACAUCGUUUUUUAAAAUCUUGAACUUACAUUGAGCUCUUGAAGCUGUUGAAACUGGAAUGAGUAUGGAACUGUGGCCAACGCCUGUGAUUAAAAUACAAUGUCCUGGCCUACCAUUACGCUGUAGCCUUCCACACCGUGGGCUUGUGUGAUUGCACAAUUGUUGUUUUUGAGCAAGUGCCCCUGUUAGUUUUACUCUGUAAAUAAAUAUGUGCUCCGAGCUGACAA